UACGUAGGGGGCAAGCGUUAUCCGGAUUUACUGGGUGUAAAGGGAGCGUAGACGGCGGUGCAAGCCAGAUGUGAAAGCCCGGGGCCCAACCCCGGGACUGCCCUUGGAACUGCAUGGCUGGAGUGCGGGAGGGGCAGGCGGAAUUCCUAGUGUAGCGGUGAAAUGCGUAGAUAUUAGGAGGAACACCAGUGGCGAAGGCGGCCUGCUGGGCUUUUACUGACGCUGAGGCUCGAAAGUGUGGGGAGCAAACAGG
rnacentral:rRNA from 1 species